CUGAUACCCCACGGGUGCCCACGGGAAGUGGGCUGAGAGUGGCGCUGAUACCGCGCCUGCACCGUUUGAACCUGUCUGGUUAGCACCAGCGAAGGAAGAGAGGAGCAGCCAUGAC
rnacentral:ncRNA from 2 species